rnacentral:rRNA from 1 species
GUGGGGAAUUUUGGACAAUGGGCGCAAGCCUGAUCCAGCAAUGCCGCGUGCAGGAAGAAGGCCUUCGGGUUGUAAACUGCUUUUGUACGGAACGAAAAGGCUCUGGUUAAUACCUGGGGCUCAUGACGGUACCGUAAGAAUAAGCACCGGCUAACUACGUGCCAGCAGCCGCGGUAAUACGUAGGGUGCAAGCGUUAAUCGGAAUUACUGGGCGUAAAGCGUGCGCAGGCGGUUUUGUAAGACAGAGGUGAAAUCCCCGGGCUCAACCUGGGAAUUGCCUUUGUGACUGCAAGGCUGGAGUGCGGCAGAGGGGGAUGGAAUUCCGCGUGUAGCAGUGAAAUGCGUAGAUAUGCGGAGGAACACCGAUGGCGAAGGCAAUCCCCUGGGCCUGCACUGACGCUCAUGCACGAAAGCGUGGGGAGCAAACAGGAUUAGAAACCCUGGUAGUCC